GAUGAACGCUGGCGGCGUGCCUAAUACAUGCAAGUCGAGCGAACAGACGAGGAGCUUGCUCCUCUGACGUUAGCGGCGGACGGGUGGGUAACACGUGGAUAACCUACCUAUAAGACUGGGAUAACUUCGGGAAACCGGAGCUAAUACCGGAUAACAUGUUGAACCGCAUGGUUUAACAGUGAAAGACGGUCUUGCUGUCACUUAUAGAUGGAUCCGCGCCGCAUUAGCUAGUUGGUAAGGUAACGGCUUACCAAGGCAACGAUGCGUAGCCGACCUGAGAGGGUGAUCGGCCACACUGGAACUGAGACACGGUCCAGACUCCUACGGGAGGCAGCAGUAGGGAAUCUUCCGCAAUGGGCGAAAGCCUGACGGAGCAACGCCGCGUGAGUGAAGAAGGUCUUCGGAUCGUAAAACUCUGUUAUUAGGGAAGAACAAAUGUGUAAGUAACUAUGCACGUCUUGACGGUACCUAAUCAGAAAGCCACGGCUAACUACGUG
rnacentral:rRNA from 1 species